ensembl:lncRNA
GAGGAUAUGUUGACACUGAUUUAUCACUCUGCAGAUGAUGGCCAAUCUUCUCAAAAGUUACUAAUGACAUUGUGUGCCUCUGUUUCUAGCAACUCAUGAUCCAGGCUUGCAGAGCGCUCUGUGCCUGGGGUUUGCCAAAGAGCCGCAGAUGUGCAGGUGUCCCUCCCACAGCCAUUGCUUGUCUAUGGGCAGCCUCAGUCCCCAGAGAGGAGGGAUGACGGACCUCCUCAGCAGCUGAGGGUGGUUUAAUCCUUCCUGAGAUUGCUCACUAAGCAGCUGCUGGCCUGAAUCUCUGCUGCUGGUCACACACAGGUAGAGGCCUGGCAUGGCAUAGGAAUUUUUACAUUGCUUAAUACCUUUCUGCAUGACCCUCAGAUUACCGAGGGGCACACGAAACCAUUACCAAUAACAUUAAUAACAACAGGAGCAGCCAUCCCCCAGCAAACUGCAGCAUUGCCCAGGUAUUUCUGCAGAAAGCCGUUUCCAGCUGCAGGGGCAAGGGUAGCCACAGCCCCCCCAAAACACGCACACGCUGCCCCUUGCUGCCUGUGCCAUGUGCCUUUCCAGGUCUGCCAGCAGGCCCUGCUCAUGCUGGAUGGCCAAAAUGUGGAAGAUUUAGCUCUCCCCUUCCAGAAAGUGCGGGCUAGCCAGCAAGCAUGCGUAAACACCUCUCAGAAAACCCACCCCCUGGAAGUGCUCCAUCUUGCCGUGAUCAAUGAGCUGCAACGUGGUCAAAAGGGAAUGCUAUUGGAAAACAGACACCCACUGGGACAGCAGUCACUUCUUCAGCAGGCAGGAGAUGUGUGCUCAAGAGCAUCCCUGGGCCAUCCCCAUCACAGCACUGACUUCCCUGCAGUUUGCACAUCGCCCCUUCCUGGGAAAUGUGCUGUGCCAAAGCUUGUCCUGCUCGUUGCCUCAGCGCUCACCAGCCUCUCUUGACACCUCUCAGCCUUUAGGAUGUGGUGCAGCUUUCCUGAGAGAAAAUGAAACUCUUACUAUUUACCUAUUUUGAUGCCUUCCUUCCUGAAGACCUGCUUCUGUCACAUUGCCUCCAGGAAAUCCAAUCCAUACAUUAAUUGAUUUAAAAGAAAGGAGAAGGAGGAGGUGGUGUUUCCUAAUCUGCUAAGAGAGAAACCUAUUGUGCCUUUUCUCCCUUUCUAGGGGUUUGUCUCCAUAGCAAGAUGGAGGUGUGCUUAUAAAAACGUACAAGAGCAGCAAAGACGUGGUGGGACAGGCUUACAGCGUCACUGACGGGUCUCUGGAGGGCAAUUGGGUUGCUGAGCAGUUCCGAUUCCCAUACACCAUCCUUUCACUCCUCUUGUUACCCAGGCUAAGUAGAUUCAAUGAAGCAUAGAUAUGCCCCGUCAUGCUACAUUCAUGCCUGUACUUUGCUGCAGAAGCAUACUACAAGAACAACACCUGGCACAUCACGUUUAGCAAAUGGUGACAGUACAAUUCAUAAUUCACUAUUUUUUUUCUUCACUGACUAUUAGAACAGCAGUACCAUGUGUUCAAAAGAGUAAUUAUUUACCAACAUAUAAAAUGUAUCCAGACAGGCUAAGCUGGACAAAAGCUUCUUGUCCUCUGUGGCUAUUAAGAAUUUCCAAUUAACUAAGUACUUGACUGAUAAAUGCAUACAGACGUAUUUGAAUAGGUGUCUCUUUAAAAGCAACCCUACUACCCCACGGAACCCCUAGGGAAAUAAUUUAUAGUGCAAGUCUGUGGUGUGCUUUACAAUAUGCAAAAUGUUUAUAUCACAGGCUAAAAUACAGCUAAAGCUAGAACUAGCUGAAAGAAACAAAGCAAAAAAUCCUCGAAAGUUCUAACUCAGCUCACACAAAGUCUUUAGUCUUUAAUACGUAUGGAUUGUUAAAACUUGUGUUGCCAGUUUCUUACACAGACGCAGAAAGCAGAGUAACUGGAGUUGCUCUGUAUAUGUUCUGUGCUACUACUAUUACUGCUGAUAGGGAGUUCACACAGAUUUUGUUACCAAUAUAGCUGUGAAAACCUUCCGACUUUCUCUCCCCCUCUCUCUUUCCAAAUGCUAAGCUGAAUUUCCAGGUUGGGAGAAGUGCUAUGGUUCACAUUAGGUUGGUUCUGCUUCCCGGCCUGGCUGAGCCCGCUCUGUGUGGCCAGGAGGAUUAGCAGAAGUCAGUUUAAGUAAUUUUUAGAGGAAAUAGGAUGCACUGUUAAGUGAGCCUUCCGAGGCAUUUUAGCAGAAGCACAGCAGUGCUGCUGACAGGGAUAACGGCCCUGCUAAAAGGUAUGCCACAUCUUCCAAACAUGUUCAAAAUACUGAUGCAUGCAUCUCUUCUUCUUCAAUUGGCAAACACCGAUGGAAACCUUUAAAAUAAUAUUUUAUUUUCACUAACAUCCCGUUGAAGGAAAUGUGACUUAAUCUAGAGUUAUCUGCUAAUUUGGGGGAGAAAGGUUGUUUUAAUGCAUUGUAAAAUGAUCAUUUAUACUGUACUUUAGUAUUGGUUUUCUAUAAAACCCUAAAGGUCAUGUUCCUACUUACUGUAGAACUGUCUGGUGUAUAUCCAGAUUCACAAAUAGCUAAAGAAUAAAAAUUCCUUCUUUGGCA